rnacentral:rRNA from 1 species
UUUUAAUAGAUUAAUGAUUAUUAAUAUAAUCUGCCCAAUGAUAAAUUAAAUAGCCGCAGAUUCCUGUGCUAAGGUAGCAUAAUCAUUUGUCUUCUAAUUUAAGACUAGAAUGAAAGAUUAUCCAUUUUAAUUAUUUUUUUAAAUUUACAUUAUUAAUUUAUUUUAAAUAUUAAAAAAUAUUUAUAAAUAAGAAAGACGAUAAGACCCUAUCGAACUUAACUACAGUUAAACUGGGGAAGUUAAUUAAAUAAAAUUUUAAUUUUUUUUUUUUAAUUAAAAUUACCUUUUUUUAAAAAUAAAAUAAUCAAGUUACCGUAGGGAUAACAGCGCAAUAAAUCUUUAAAGAUCUUAUUUAAAUAUUAUUAUUGCGACCUCGAUGUUGAAUAUUUACCUAAAUCACGCAAUAGUAAUUUAAGGAAGUCUGUUCGACUUUUAAUCUUUUACA